AAAUUGAAGAGUUUGAUCAUGGCUCAGAUUGAACGCUGGCGGCAGGCCUAACACAUGCAAGUCGAACGGUAACAGGAAGCAGCUUGCUGCUUCGCUGACGAGUGGCGGACGGGUGAGUAAUGUCUGGGAAACUGCCUGAUGGAGGGGGAUAACUACUGGAAACGGUGGCUAAUACCGCAUAACGUCGCAAGACCAAAGAGGGGGACCUUCGGGCCUCUUGCCAUCAGAUGUGCCCAGAUGGGAUUAGCUUGUUGGUGAGGUAACGGCUCACCAAGGCGACGAUCCCUAGCUGGUCUGAGAGGAUGACCAGCCACACUGGAACUGAGACACGGUCCAGACUCCUACGGGAGGCAGCAGUGGGGAAUAUUGCACAAUGGGCGCAAGCCUGAUGCAGCCAUGCCGCGUGUAUGAAGAAGGCCUUCGGGUUGUAAAGUACUUUCAGCGGGGAGGAAGGUGUUGCGGUUAAUAACCGCAGCAAUUGACGUUACCCGCAGAAGAAGCACCGGCUAACUCCGUGCCAGCAGCCGCGGUAAUACGGAGGGUGCAAGCGUUAAUCGGAAUUACUGGGCGUAAAGCGCACGCAGGCGGUCU
rnacentral:rRNA from 1 species